GUAGGUAGAACACCAGUAUCGUAAGGAAACUGAUCCCCAUACAGGGGAUAAUUAAAUUUACAGUAUAAAACAGUGUUUUACGGCGCAUUGUUAUGUUGAAGGUGAUAUCGAGAUAUGGUUCAUCACAACAUGUGUAGAAUUUUUCAUUUCUGUUGAAACGGUCGGCCAUCCAUUCGAAGACGUCGGUUGAAGUAAGAUGCCAUAACGAGAGGGGACCACAUCCAAGGACCGUUGGAGACGUUGGAGGUGUAGAUUUUUCGGUGUUGACGAUGUGCGGCACGUUUCGGGGUCGGAGUCCCAUCGCAGCAGACCCAAGCGCGUUGGCAGAAUUCUUUUCAGGACGAGCGAAGGAAAGACAAGUGAAAAUUUGACGGAAUUCAAUUUGCAUAAUUGGAAAUGCUUCAUCGAACAACGAAACACAUCAGCUAUUUGUUGAAUGUUUGCUGUGUACCCUUGGCACUCUUCCCUCCCUCAGAAUACCUCAUUGACUGUUGCUAAUAUUGCGCUGGAUUGAAUGGAAUUUUGUGGGAAAUCCACAUAGUUUAUCUUACCUGACCGCAGGAACUUCUAAAAUGUCCCACUCGACUGAUGUAUAGAACUCCGAUAAAUCAACACCGACUUCCACGACGUUGGUGUCGUUAACUUCAUCAAUGUGACGAAGAUCAACCUGAAAUUGAUCAAACGAAAAUAAAUGAAUCAAUUAGUAUGUUUGUCAUAGAAUAGGUUCCCCUUGACAUCGCACUACAUUUAAUGGUUGACCGCUCUUUGGCCACUGGAAUGCAUUGUCACAGGCGCUGAUG